GGCUGGAUCCGCUGCCUGUUAGGAUGGUUGGGCGGGGGCCACGCUUCCCCUCCCCUGGGAAUAGAAACUCCCCAUGGGACACCCAGAAGGGCUGCCUCUUUGAAUCUGGGACCCUUUUCAUUCUGGAUGGAAGGGACGUUUCUCGUCUUCCAGUUUGCGUGUCCAAGAAUCGUUCUGGGCCGCCGGCUCCUCGGAAGUGGAAGCGGUGGACCAAGAAACCCAGAUUUCAGGAAUCACAAGUUGCCAGACAAGAGUGCUCUGCGAGGAGCUGAUCGAGACGCGGGAACUUCGGCGGCGCUGGUGCGGAAAACGCUGGCUCCAAAGUACACAGCUCAGAUUUGCCUCUGUGGAGGGACCGACAGAAGAAAAAGAACGGAUUCAUUUUGCACAUUUCAUUCAGAUGUUGCGGGUCUACAAAGCCAUCCGGAGAGACAGAGAGAUAAGGAGAGAAACAAGGAAAGCGGAGAAUGCGGAUAUCUGAACCUUGAGCCAAAAUACACCAAAGAAGAGGUUCUCCUCACAUCCUCUACCUCCUGGAAGUUACAGGCUCUGACCGGCUCCACGGUGCACUCAAAUCAAAGUCUGACCUCUGUGAGCUGGACGUCUUCCAUCUUCCAGAGCUGGCUUAAGAUCGAACCAUUAGGGGGAUUACCCUGGUUACCCUUCAUGUUUAAAUAGAAGGAUGUCCUUAAACACAUCUCCCUCUUUCUCUGGACUCUCAAUGGGAGGGGCAGGAGGUUUCAGGUCGUAACAUUUUUCUAGUUUGAUGAAACACCAGGCCUUCUCCAGGGCUUAAAUUUGCCUUAUAAGGUCAUUUCACUACCACCCGUCCCUCAGCCCCAUCCUCUCCCAAUCAGAGCUUCCCCACCAGUGCUGGGCUGGAGAUAUGGGGUGCUGAUGUCUGCCAAAACCAGUGGAGGCUCAGGGGGCAACAGACUACAGUGACUCAUGAUUGAGGGUUUUGGGAAUUUCCACCAGAAAUCACUGGGCCUCUCAAGGGUUUUGAAGAAUCAAAACCUAGAUACUUUGCUGAUACUUCUCAUCCUUGAACUUGCCCUCAUUUUAUUUCUCCGUGACUUGGAGAAUAGGUUACAAUUUCAGGCUUUUCCAGCUGCCAUUUUUUGUCAGUCCUAAUUUGGUUGGAUUUUCAGGGUUUUUUUGCUAUGUGAUGACAUACCCCUCCUUGUUGGAGAAGAAAAUAGCUGACUCUUUUUUUGUUGUUGUUAUUCAAAGGAAACAAAUUCUUGUGUAGUUAAGCUUUUAAAACAAAGUACUUUGUACUGUUUAAGCUAGGCUUCAGUAACUCAAAAACACCUUACCUUUAAAACUAAAACUUUUUGCAGAUUAAACAGAAAUAGGUGGUUUCCUAGGUAUCUUUUUAAUAGGAAUGCUGUUAACAGGGACAGUGUUAGGCUUUGGCAUUUAGGCUAUGUGAUAUUUCAUGGUCAAAAUUGAGGAGAAUCACAACAUCAACACUGACAACACACACACACACACACACAACACAAACGCACAGGUAAAAGGAAUUCUGGAACUUGCCAUUUCACACUUUCUUAGCUAAAUAUAGGCUUUGCUGUUUAUUUCUUCCUUAUAAUGAGAAGCUGGGUGUGCCACCCCAUGGACUAUACAGUCCAUGGAAUUCUCCAGGCCAGAAUACUGGAGUGGGUAGCCUUUCCCUUUUCUAGGGGAUUUUCCCAACCCAGGGAUUGAACCCAGGUCUUCCGCAUUGCAGGGGCAAUCUUUACCAGCUGAACCACAGGGAAGCCCAGAGAAGUAGAUGACAAAUGUUAGCUCACACCACCCAUUGAUGACAGGCAGAGACUACCUUCCAGGCUAGUCAGUGCCCUUUCUGCCACACCAUCCUACCUGCUACUUCUUUGGAUAAGAAGGCAAAUCCACAUGCAAAAUCCCGCACAGUCCCCAGAUGUGACCCUGUGUGUGUGUGUGUGCUUAGUCGUGUCAAUCAUUUUGCAACCCCAUGGACUGUAGCCCACUAGGCUCCUCUGUCCAUGGGAUUUUCCAG
ensembl:lncRNA